rnacentral:rRNA from 1 species
GUGGGGAAUAUUGGACAAUGGGCGCAAGCCUGAUCCAGCCAUGCCGCGUGAGUGAUGAAGGCCCUAGGGUUGUAAAGCUCUUUCACCGGUGAAGAUAAUGACGGUAACCGGAGAAGAAGCCCCGGCUAACUUCGUGCCAGCAGCCGCGGUAAUACGAAGGGGGCUAGCGUUGUUCGGAAUUACUGGGCGUAAAGCGCACGUAGGCGGACAUUUAAGUCAGGGGUGAAAUCCCGGGGCUCAACCCCGGAACUGCAUUUGAUACUGGGUGUCUGGAGUAUGGAAGAGGUAAGUGGAAUUCCGAGUGUAGAGGUGAAAUUCGUAGAUAUUCGGAGGAACACCAGUGGCGAAGGCGGCUUACUGGUCCAUUACUGACGCUGAGGUGCGAAAGCGUGGGGAGCAAACAGGAUUAGAUACCCGGGUAGUCC